rnacentral:siRNA from 1 species
UGGUUAAUCUCUACUUGCUU